rnacentral:lncRNA from 1 species
CCUGAGUAGAAGGAAACACACAGCUCCCCCAGAGCAGAGAGGCCCGCGAGAGGGAAAGCUGGCCCAGGCCCAGGGCAGGCUCGCCUCUGACUCUGCAGGGACAUUAUUCCCUCCCAGCCAGCAGGGAACUUCUGGAACUUCUAAACAGCACAUCCUCGAGCCAGCCCAGGCCCCCACAGCAUCCUGCACCCCAGGUUUACAAGCUUUUUAAUGAAAUCAGAGCACCACAGCCAGCUCUAGCCCAGAGGGAAAGUAAGAGGAUGUUUCUGCAGCAGCUGUCCUUUCUCCUGUAACUACUAAACUGUCGCCCCUCACUAAAGAGGAUGGCUUUGCCUAUGCUGUCCCCACCCCUUGAAGCGAGCUUCCUCCUCUAUUGGGAUAGGUAACUCUCUUUUCUUCAAUAAUUCUUUAAUGUUAUAAAAUACCUGCCAGUGUUCACAUUUCCCUGAAUGAUUUUUAAUUCUUUUUCCUUUUUUAGUAUGUUUGUUUGAAGUAGGAAUCUAAACAAGAUCUAUAUAUUGUGAUUAAUUGAUAUGUCUCCGAAGUCUC